rnacentral:rRNA from 1 species
CAAUUAUACAGCGAAACUGCGAAUGGCUCAUUAAAUCAGUUAUCGUUUAUUUGAUAGUACCUUACUACUUGGAUAACCGUGGUAAUUCUAGAGCUAAUACAUGCUAAAAACCCCGACUCACGAAGGGGUGUAUUUAUUAGAUUAAAAACCAAUGCCCUUCGGGGCUCUUUGGUGAUUCAUAAUAACUUUUCGAAUCGCAUGGCCUUGCGCCGGCGAUGGUUCAUUCAAAUUUCUGCCCUAUCAACUUUCGAUGGCAGGGUCUUGGCCUGCCAUGGUUACAACGGGUAACGGAGGGUUAGGGCUCGACCCCGGAGAAGGAGCCUGAGAAACGGCUACUACAUCCAAGGAAGGCAGCAGGCGCGCAAAUUACCCAAUCCCGAUUCGGGGAGGUAGUGACAAUAAAUACUGAUACAGGGCUCUUUUGGGUCUUGUAAUUGGAAUGAGUACAAUUUAAAUCCCUUAACGAGGAACAAUUGGAGGGCAAGUCUGGUGCCAGCAGCCGCGGUAAUUCCAGCUCCAAUAGCGUAUAUUAAAGUUGUUGCAGUUAAAAAGCUCGUAGUUGAACCUUGGGCCUGGCUGGCCGGUCCGCCUCACCGCGUGCACUGGUUCGGCCGGGCCUUUCCCUCUGGGGAACCUCAUGGUCUUCACUGAUCGUGACGGGGAACCAGGACUUUUACUGUGAAAAAAUUAGAGUGUUCAAAGCAGGCCUAUGCUCGAAUACAUUAGCAUGGAAUAAUAAAAUAGGACGUGUGGUUCUAUUUUUGUUGGUUUCUAGGACCGCCGUAAUGAUUAAUAGGGACAGUCGGGGGCAUCAGUAUUCAAUUGUCAGAGGUGAAAUUCUUGGAUUUAUUGAAGACUAACUACUGCGAAAGCAUUUGCCAAGGAUGUUUUCAUUAAUCAGGAACGAAAGUUAGGGGAUCGAAGACGAUCAGAUACCGUCGUAGUCUUAACCAUAAACUAUGCCGACUAGGGAUCGGACGGUGUUACUUAUUGACCCGUUCGGCACCUUACGAGAAAUCAAAGUCUUUGGGUCUG